rnacentral:lncRNA from 1 species
GGUGACGCACGCAAAAAAAAAUAAUGAUAUGAGCCAAAAUUUACAUGUAGAUAAAUGGACACUUACAGAACCCAAGCGCUGAUCAGAGAGACGUCCAGGGCAUCAUGAUGGUACACUUCGUAUAUAUCCUGGAAGUCAAACCACAGAACUUUCUCGCCUUCACCGUAAAAAUCUAUCGGUUUUACCUUAGGGCCCAACAUCUCCC